CAGGACAAACAGGUUAGGUUGCGCGCACUCGGCGCGAGAGGCGGACACAGGCGCACGGGACCGCUUCUGCUGUGGCCUGGGACGGCCACCGCUUUGCUUCCCGCGCCCUGGCCGCGGGGGCCCCGCGAGUUCCCGCCGUACACACAGACGGGCGGGCUGUCGGGACCGAGAGGGCCUCGUGCAACGGCGCUCUCCUCGGAAGCCACGCUACCUCAGCCGCUUCUGCAAAAAGGCAUGAGGGACGGCUCCUGGCUUCUGGAGCGUGAGGUGGCCUCGGGGUCAACCCGUUAAGGGGACUGCGCGGACGGCCCGGCCUGCCUUCCCCCAGCCCUUCCUCUCCGGGGCCCCGCGGCAGGCGCGGGAAUCCACAGAGGCCGACAUGUUCCCGAGGAGGCCACCGGCCACCCUGGCCGCCUGGCUGGCGGGCGCGCGGGGCGGGGGCCUGCUGUCCGCGCUGGCCAAUCAGUGCCGCUUCGUGACGGGCCUGCGCGUGCGGCGAGCGCAGCAGAUCGCGCAGCUCUACGGCCGCCUGUAUUCCGAGAGCUCGCGCUGCGCCCUGCUCGGACGCUUCUGGCGCCGGCUGCGAGGCCGCCCCGGCCAUGCCUCUGUUUUGAUGGCGGCGCUCUCCGGUGUUUUCGUAUGGGACGAGGAGAGAAUCCAGGAGGAGGAGUUGCAGAGGUCCAUUAAUGAGAUGAAACGGUUGGAAGAAAUGUCAAAUAUAUUUCAGAGCUCUGGAGUUGAGAAUUACCCUCCCGAACCAAAGUCCCCAGCAGGAGGGAAUGAAAAGUCAAAAGACAAGGAAGAACCCUGGGAAAUGGUGAUGGACAAGAAACACUUCAAGCUGUGGCGCCGCCCAAUUACAGGCACCCACCUUUACCAGUACCGAGUUUUUGGAACAUACACAGAUGUGACUCCCCGACAGUUCUUCAAUGUUCAGGUGAGUUCAUUUUCUCUCCAGGUUUGGAAUUUUUUGGCUCCAUGAAUGUCUGUUGUAAUCUCAGUGCUUGGAAGGUGAGGCAGGAGACUUGCUGUGAGUUAGAGGCAAGCCUGGGUUGUAUAACAAAUACAAGACUAGUCAGAAAUACAUAGCAAGUUAAAACAAAUUAAAUGAAUUAAAAACAAUAUGUUUGGGUGUGAUGGCACAUACCUUUAAUUCUAGCACUUAGGAAGCAGAGGCAGGUGGAUGAAUCUCUAUGAAUUUGAGGCCUGCCUGGGCUAUACAUCUAGUGCCAGGACAGCAGAGCUAUAUAGAGUGACUCUGUCCCAAAAACAAUAAAAGUGAAACAAAAGUGAGAGGAGAAGGUGAGAUCUCCCAAAGUGCCACAUAGAACUUUCUUUCCUGAUACUUCCAUUUUCUUUUUUUGUUUGUUUGUUUGUUUGUUUUGUUUUGUUGAGACAGGGUUUCUCUGUGUAGCCCUGGCUGUCCUGGAACUCACUUUGUAGACCAGGCUGGCCUCGAACUCAGAAAUCCACCUCCCUUUGCCUCCCAAGUGCUGGGAUUAAAGGCAUGUGCCACCACCGCCUGGGAUACUUCCAUUUUCAAAUUUUAAUUUUUUAAUUUUAAAAAUUAGUAUACAGCUGAAUGUGGUGGCGUGCACCUUUAAUCCUGAUACUUGGUUUAUGGGAGCUCCAGGACAUCCAGGACUAUAGAAAGAGACCCUGUCUGAAACUAAAUACAAAAUAAGUAUACAAAGUAUUAGGCUUUAUGGCCUUUUUCAGACAUAAUUUGGUUUUGCUGGUCUUCCUCCCCCUGUUGCCUUCUUCCUUCUCCCCGUCCUCUCCAUGUGUAUCUCCUCCAUCAGUAACCCUGGCCAACUUCCCUAUCACGUGUGUUCUAUUGUUCUCCCCUCUGAUCACUACCUUUUCUUUAUUCCUGGACUACUCUCUGGUUUUAUGACUUAUGUCUGUGCUCACACCUUCAUAUAUAAGAUAUGCAUAUGAGAAUGUGACAUUGUCUUUCUGAGUCUGUUACCUUGCUUAAUGUAAUUUCCAGAUGUAUCAUCUUCCUUAAUGUUUUAUAAUUUCAUUCUUCUUUUGGCUGAAUAAAAUUCCAUUGUAUACAAGUACCACAUGUUUACUAUCCAUUCAUUUGGUGUAAUUUCCUUCCUUUUGUGACUGGUGCCGCAGUAAUCAGCUAUAGUGAGAUAUAGAGUGUACAGGUUAUAUGCCCAGGAGUAUGGCUGGGUCAUAUGGUAGUUCUGUUUUUAAUUUUUCUGAUAAAUCUCCAUACUGAUUUUCAUAAUCUACUAACACCAGUGUGUAAUGUGUAAGUGUUCCUCUUUCCCCUGCCGUCAAUUUUUGUGAUUUUGCCAAGCUCUCAAUAACUAGUCUGCUGAUUAUAAUACCCACUAAAGCCAAGCCUGUUGGAAUAGACCUGUGUAGCAGUGAGUUCAGCUACGCUGCUUUGGUUCCCAGUGGGUUGUGUGCUUCCAGCCAGGAGCUAUCUGGAUUCAAGAAUGGAACUAUCGGGCUGGAGAGGUGGCUCAGCGGUUAAGAGCACUGGCUGCUCUUUCAGAGGGCCUGAGUUCAAUUCCCAGCAACUAUCUGUAAUGGGAUCCCAUGUCCUCUUCUCGUGUGCCUGAAGACAAUGAUGGUGUACUCAAAUAAUAUACAUAUAAUAAAUAAAUAAAUCUUUAAAAACAAAAAAGAAUGGAACUAUCUCCCCCCUUUCCCCCCUUUCCCCCUUUCUCAUCCGCCAGUUCAUUUUAAAAUGCCUUGGCUACCUUAAAGGCUAGGCACUCCUAAACCUUCCCCUGCUACCCCAGGUCCGAUUAUGGAAGUGGCCAGUGGCCGCCCACCCGAAUCUCACAUGGCUGGUUGGUUUUCUCUCAUACAGCUCCUACAGCCCGUCCUUCUCUCCCGAGUCAUGCCAGUUCUCUGUCUUCUCUUUCCCAGUUCCUAGCCCUCACAAAUCCAAAGAUCCCACACCAUCUCCCUUUGCCCAGCCAUUGGCUGCUGGCAUCUUUAUUGAUCAAUCAAAAACCAACUGGGGACAAGGACCUUCAGCGUUUGGACACUCAGAUUUCCAAUUAAAGCAUUAGAACCAAUCCCCAACAGGCCUGUAAUCUCAGCUCUUUCGGAGGCUGAAGCCUUCCUGGUAUGUAGUGAAUUUAAGACCAGCCUGAUCAACUUAGUGAGACUGUCUUAAGUAAAAACAAGACCAGGGAAAUGGAACAUUUGCAUAGUAUGUACAGGGUGUGCUGGGUUGAAUCUGCAGAAUUGUAACAAUGGUGUACCCACUAAGGAUAUACAAGGCACUUUGACCUGGGCUCUGGUUUUGUCAGUGCUGUUUGGUUUUUAUGCAUACGAUGUCUGUAUUUGGUUCCUUGAUAUGAAAGAAAAUAAGAAAUUCUCCUUUUUUUUUUUUGUGGUUUUUAGAGCUUUAUUGUAGAAAGGCAGGGGGAAGGAGAGAAGGUAGAAAGAGAGAGGCCAGCCAUGGCCACAUGGAGAUAGGGGUGAGGGGAGAGAGAGAGGGAGGACUAGACAGGAGAGUAGGAAAGGUGAAAGCUUAAAGAGCGAGAAAUGCUUCUUGAAUUUCUUUUUCUGUUGAAAAUAAUUUAGAAUUAUCAUAUCUUUACAUGUUAUCUGACGUAUUUUCUCCGGACAUUUCCUUUUCUUCUUUUUAAGUUUAAUCGUUUCUAAGAGGGUGCGGGUCCGUGCCUGAAGGCCAGGGAACAACUCUGUAGAGUUGCUUUUCUCCCACCUUUCUGUGGGUUCUAUGUAUUGAAUUCAGGUUGUUAGGCUUACAUAGUCAGGCACUAUUUUAGUUUCAUUCUGUUGCUGUGACUGACCAAAAGCAAUUUAGGAAGAGUUUAUUUUAGUUUAUAGGUAUAGUUAGUAACUGAGAGAAGUUGGGACAGGAACUUGAAACAAAAACUAUGGAAGAGACUGCUUAUUUUCUCUUUUCCAGGCUCAUCUUUUCUUCUCUUUUCUCUUCUUUUCUUUUCUCAUGCAUAUUGCUAGAUAAAAGCCAAUAUGAAAGGUGACAUACUAUAUGAUUUUAGAUCAUUCUAGACACUUGUCAAAACCAGCACAAUGUCUAGCACACUCACUGAACUCUAUACCAUAGUCAAUGAUAUAUCAGUACUGGGUAGGCAGUGGUAUAGGCGUGUAAUCCCAACACUUAGGAUCACCAAUCACCACAAGUUAUAGCUAGCCUUGUCCACCUAGUAAAUUUCAGGCCAGCUGUAGUUACUCCAUGGUAAAGCCUUAACUAAUUUUUUUUUUUUUGUUUUUUUGUUUUUCGAGACAGGGUUUCUCUGUAUAGCCCUGGCUGUCCUGGAACUCACUUUGUAGACCAGGCUGGCCUCGAACUCAGAAAUCCACCUGCCUCUGCCUCCCAAGUGUUGGGAUUAAAGGCAUGCGCCACCACUGCCUGGCUUACUUUUCGCUUUCCACACAAAAAAAAAAAAAAAAAAAAAAAAAAAAAAAAAAAAAUUAGUGAAAAAAAGUACAGAAAAAUAAACCCAUUAAAAUAAAAUCAGAUAGCUAAGCAUUUAAAAAGUCCAACACAAGGCCAUCAGGAGAUGCCAGAGAUGCUAAGGUUCAGCAGGGUGUUAGCAGAUAGUUGCUGAUUUGUAUGUAGACUCUUAACUGUCCUGGUAGAGAGGAGGGGAGACUUUUGAAGACUGAUGUCCAGUCUUUUUAGUUUUAAGCUAUUAUAGGGAAUACAGAAUGUUCCUUUUUACUUCUUCCAUUCUCUUCAGAUCAGAAUAAAACCUUGACAUUGUCUAAGGUGCCAUAUUUGGGAGUGCAGUUGUUAUAGUUCUUUGCACAGUUUCUCUCUUUUAAAUUUUCUCAUGAUCUUCUUACUUUUUUGAACACAUUAGGACAAAGCAUAUUAUCUUCCAUUCCUGGGAUGGGAAAACAUAGGCUGCUAUCAGGAAAGAUAAAUCAACUUCUGGAAAGUGUCUGGAACCCUGGUCUAAUUGGUAUAAAAUUGCAGGCAAACCCAGUCUGUCCUGUCUGCAGGAGCUGUGUACCAUGGACAUAGCCUGCUUUUUCAUAUAGUCUAGGACCACCUUUAUAAUGGGACUUUCUCCAGCCCACCAGUGGUAUAAAUAAUAACGAGAAUUUUAUUACAGUUUAAAACUUAGACUUUUUGCUAGGGCAGUUUUUCAGCUAGCUCUAUCUUUCUCUCCGCUGUGGUUCACAUCUGUUCCCUCCAUGUACAUUUUCAAAUCUCCCACGAUUGCUUUCUUUUCCCAGUAUAUACCACCUCUCUCUGUCUCUCCCCUUCCCAAGUCCCACCCCCUACUUCCUGCCCAGCCAUUGGCCAUUAGCUCUUUAUUACAGCUAGUCAGUGCAGCAAACCUCUGAUACAAUUCUAGAUUGCCUCUAGGCAGAGAGGACUGUCUGACCUUCAAGUAUCUGAGUAGGAGACUGGUGAUGUACCAUAGAAAUGACAGUACCAAUUUCCUGCCAGCAUUUAGCUCUCUUUGGUACAGAAUUAACCAUUGAAAAUACAGAGACAUACCUUCAUAGAGUAUAAAAAAGGUUACCCCAACACUUUUCCAUGGAAUGGUACUGUCCAUAGUGGAUAGUGGUCUGGAUCCACCUGUAUUAAUUAAUAAUCAAGACUGUUCUGGGGCUGGAGAGAUGGCUCAGCGGUUAAGAGCGUCAACUGCUCUUCCAAAGGUCCUGAGUUCAAAUCCCAGCAACUACAUGGUGUUUCACAACCAUCUGUAAUGAAAUCUGAUGCCCUCUUCUGGAGUGUCUGAACACAGCUACAGUGUACUUACAUAUAAUAAAUAUUUAAAAAAACAAACAAACAAAAAACUGUCCUCCUUAGACGGGCUCACACUCCAGACUUAUCUGGACAUCCUUUUCUCAGGUGACUCCAGGUUGUCAAUAGGUGGCAAACAUUUUUUACCCACUGAGACAUCUCAUCACCCACAUUCCACAGACAUUUUUAAUUAAUUAAUUUUUUUUACUUUGCAUCCCAAUUGCAGCUUCCUAUUUUUCCCAGUCCUUCCCUAAACUUUUUUUAAUAAUUAAUUUAAUUUUAUGCUCAUUGUAUGAGGGUGUCAGAUCCCCCAUGGAACUGGAGUUACAAACAGAUGUGAGCUGCCAUUUGGGUGUUGGGAAUUGAACCUGGGUCCUCUAGAAGAGCAGCCAUUGCACUUAGCCACUAAGCCCUCUCUCCAGUAUCUCCAUAGACAUUUCUAUUGCAUAGUUUUUGUGUAUGUGCAUGUAUGUACACACAUGAUAAUGAGAACUGAACAUAGACAAAACUUGCUAGACAAGUAAUUUAACCACUGAGCUGUACCUUCAGUCUUUUGGCGUCUUUUGUUUUGUUUUGUUUUUGAGACAGGUCUCCCUAUGUAAGUUCAGCCUUGAACUUUUGAUCCUUGUCUCUGCUUCUUGAAUUGCUGAUAUUUACAGCUGGAUACAGAGUACAGGAAAAAAUGGGAUGCCCUUGUGAUCAAGCUAGAGGUGAUUGAGAGAGAUGCUGUUAGUGGUUCUGAGGUUCUUCAUUGGGUAACCCAUUUUCCUUAUCCAAUGUACUCUCGUGAUUAUGUUUAUGUUCGGCGGUAUAGUGUGGAUCAGGAAAACAAUGUGAUGGUCUUGGUGUCACGUGCGGUGGAACACCCCAGUGUGCCAGAGUCUCCAGAGUUUGUCAGGGUCAGAUCUUACGAAUCCCAAAUGGUUAUCCGUCCUCACAAGUCGUUUGAUGAGAAUGGCUUUGACUACUUACUGACAUACAGUGACAAUCCACAGACAGUGUUCCCUCGAUACUGUGUCAGUUGGAUGGUUUCUAGUGGCAUGCCAGAUUUCUUGGAGAAGCUGCACAUGGCCACUCUGAAAGCCAAGAACAUGGAGAUCAAAGUGAAAGACUACAUCUCGGCUAAGCCUCUGGAAAUGAGCAGUGAGGCCAAGGCCACUGCUCCAUCCCCUGAGCGGAAGAAUGAGGGUAGCUGUGGCCCUGCUCGGAUUGAGUAUGCUUAAAGGCCUUUGGGAUAAGGAAAGACAGGCACUUCCAGCCCUGCCUUGCUCCUUCAGCUCUGCUGCAGGACAGGGACAAGUCACACAUGUUAGAAGACAUCUGCUGUAACUGUCAGUGCAAGAGGAUUUAGAACUGGAGUUAGAUUUCAUCUGGAGCCCUAUUGCUCUUUACCAAACAGAGGAGCAUGACAUUGUGGAGUUGUCAUGUUCUCAGGCCAGCAGUUGUGAAAUCCAGUAUCGUGCUUACCUACUCUGGAACAACCUCUCAUGUUAGGCCAGAAGGAGAUGACUCCUAUCCGCCUCCUACGAGAAGCUUCCUUGCUGACAUUCCAAAUGCCACUGUUGGUUAUGCAAUGCUCUGGAUAUCCUUCAGUUCUGUAGGUCACUUGGAGAGUGGUUGGCCCCUGGUUCUCACUAAGUGGUUUUUUGGAGUGCUCUUGGUAACAGUCCUGUGGUGGUGUGAACAAUUCUGGCUGAGCUAAGUGCCUUGUCCUCACCUUGCUUUAUCUUUAAAGACAUGAAGUUUGUACCAAGGGAUCCUUCCCCCUGCAGACUACCAUGACAUUGACUCAUCUGGUGGAGGCAGCUUUCAUCUUAACUGGCCUUUCUGUUUUCAUGGGCUGUGCUCACUGUGUCAUGGCCUCUGCCGUAGCCUUAGCCCAUUUGCUGGGAGCACCAGAGACAAACUCCUCUAGACGGUAGCUUCCUAAAUGAUGUCAUCAGUGUUUUGAUAGGAUCAGUGGAAGUGUGCACAAAACAUCUUACUUAAAAAUAGAUUUCUUUUUAACCCUUGUAGCAAAUGGAGUUAGGUGGUUGAGCACAACUCUUCCCUUAGUCUUGUUUGUUUUGGCACUAUUUUCCCACUGCAGAUUGACUGCGCUGUCCUGGAAGGAUAAAGGUGGUAGAUGGUGGUUGUGCCAUUUCCUCAGAGUUUUCAAAACUGUAAGCUGACAUAUGGGCCAACAGAUGGAGUCUUGCCCAAUACCAGUAUGGUAGGGAUGGGGCUUUUGUGACCUCUUGGUCUUGUAAAGCAUUUCUCUCCAGAGCUGACAUAGAAGUAAUAGACACAGUUUGGAUAAGAUCACAACCAGAUGCUAGGUGCCUGGCCUUGCUGGUUUCUUUAUGGUGAAUAGGGAUCAAGUUUCACAUCCUUCUCUCUCUUUUCCUGGAAUUAAUAGAGCUGACAUUUUCUUUUCUUGCUUGCUACCUACCCUGUUGUGGUGUUAAAAGAGACUAAACCCAAGGUGAACAUAAUCUUUAACCUUCUGUUGCCUAUUCAGUUCUGUGCCAAGGAAACAGCUAACUCCCCAGUGUUUCUGUCUUUUCGGUUGUUGGCAGAGCAGAGAGUGGCAUUGAGAAGCCCCAGUGUCUCUCAGUGAGCAUUUUUCCCUUCUUCCCAGGACCUGACAGGAAAAGAAAAAAUCUUUAUUUGACUUUAACAUCUGUAGCUGACUGCCUGUGAAUCUGUGAGCAAGUGUAAGCAUGUAUGUGUGCGUGUGUGUGCUGGGGCUCAGGGACUGAGCAGUUACGUUUACCCUUUGUUUUGUGAUUUGACUCUGUACAGUUAACUUGUGUCAUCAUAAUGAGUUUGCUCUUAACUGUGACAUUUUUAUCAAAGGUGUGAAUAAAUGCAUAAAGAUUGGUACA